rnacentral:misc_RNA from 1 species
AAGGAUCAUAUUGAAUUUUAUUAAUGAGGAGUUGAGUUGUUGCUGGCCUUUUCUACCUUAAUUUGGCAGGAGGGGCAUGUGCACACCUUCUCUUUCAUCCAUCACACCCCCUGUGCACUUGUGAGACAGCAAUAGUUGGUGGAUUUAAUUCCAUCAUCCAUUUGCUGUCUACUUAAUUUACACACACUCUACUUAAUUUAAACUGAAUGUAAUUGAUGUAACGCAUCUAAUACU